rnacentral:rRNA from 1 species
UAGGGAAUCUUCGGCAAUGGACGAAAGUCUGACCGAGCAACGCCGCGUGAGUGAAGAAGGUUUUCGGAUCGUAAAACUCUGUUGUUAGAGAAGAACAAGGACGUUAGUAACUGAACGUCCCCUGACGGUAUCUAACCAGAAAGCCACGUCUAACUACGUGCCAGCAGCCGCGGUAAUACGUAGGUGGCAAGCGUUGUCCGGAGUUAUUGGGCGUAAAGCGAGCGCAGGCGGUUUCUUAAGUCUGAUGUGAAAGCCCCCGGCUCAACCGAGGAGGGUCAUUGGAAACUGUGAGACUUGAGUGCAGAAGAGGAGGGAGGAAUUCCAUGUGUAGCGGUGAAAUGCGUAGAUAGAUGGAGGAACACCAGUGGCGAAGGCGGCUCGCUGGUCUGUAACUGACGCUGAGGCUCGAAAGCGUGGGGAGCAAACAGG